GUCGCGGCCAAUUCCGCGACCGGGUUUGGCGACCCGAACGAAAAGGCGCAACGGCGCCCCGACCACGAUUGCAGGCGCUUUUUUU
rnacentral:sRNA from 1 species